UCCAUCUGUGUUCUCAUUCUUAGAGAAACUGGCAGCUGCUGCUAAGGAUUCCCAGGAAUUGUUUUUGGUUCAUCCUCCUGUAUUUGAAGCACAUCUUAUAUCCUCUCAUGAUCUGACGAAUGCUGGGAAAAUACAAGUCUGAUUGGCAACAGAUUUAUUGAAGCACUAGACUUCAGGGUUUCAAGUGCUGGGGAGGAAGAGGAGACCUCUUGCGUUUACAGUGAGCCUUGUGUGCCUUAUGGCUCUCCUGCACUGACUGGUAGACCAAAUGCCUUAUCUAUUCCUGCCAGUCAAAUGGGUUACCUGGCCUGGGGAAGAAAAAAAGGAGAAUACCAGAACACAGAAAAGGAUAGUGCAGAUGAGAAACAAAAACAGAUGUGGGUCCAGAGAGCAAGGUGACACAAAAGAUUGCUUUAACACAGAAAUUAUCUGAUAGCAGGAGGACUUUCGUCUCAGGGGCUAUCAAACCGGUACUAUAAUAGAUUUUAAACAUCACUUGAAUAUAAGAAUUACAUCUGGAUCCCAUACGGAAAAGAUUAAAAUGUCUCUCUCCAUAACCGUAUCAGAUGACGGAGACCUUCUAUUGCUGCACCCAACGACAACUUUUCAUUUACUUGGCCUUCUAUCGGAGAAAGAUAACAUGCACAGAAAAGCUGGUAUCAGAACUUUAAUUGAAGAUGAGGUUCUGGGACAUCAGUUGGCAGAUAAGCAUCCUUGUGGUCUGUGUUCACAUUAAACUUCUAAUGAUCUUAAGCUACUGAAGUUUGUUCAGUAGAGAGGAUGUGAUGACAAUAUGUCCUUCCUUUACGAAAGCACAGCCUUAUUCUAUGCUUAAGGAGUUCAAGAAAAUCCAAGUUCUACAACACCUCGACACUAGAACUGAA